rnacentral:tRNA from 1 species
GGUAGCUCAGUGGUAGAGUGCUUGCCUUGCAUGCAUAAAGCCCUGGGUUUGAUUUCUCAGUACCA